rnacentral:ncRNA from 2 species
UCUUUAUAUUGAGAAGUGGAGGGACUGGCCCGACGAAGCUUCAGCAACCUUUCUUUUAGGAAAAGGUGCUAAUUCCAGCAAAGGAAACUUUGGAAGAUAAGGG